rnacentral:piRNA from 1 species
UAUCUCCUAAAGUGUCUUGUUUGUGCCA